GACGAACGCUGGCGGCGUGCUUAACACAUGCAAGUCGAGCGGUAAGGCCCUUUCGGGGGUACGACGAGCGGCGAACGGGUGAGUAACACGUGGGUGACCUGCCCUCAGCUCUGGGAUAAGCCUGGGAAACCGGGUCUAAUACCGGAUAUGACUCCAUGACGCAUGUUGUGGGGUGGAAAGCCUUGUGCGGCUGAGGAUGGGCCCGCGGCCUAUCAGCUUGUUGGUGGGGUGAUGGCCUACCAAGGCGACGACGGGUAGCCGGCCUGAGAGGGCGACCGGCCACACUGGGACUGAGACACGGCCCAGACUCCUACGGGAGGCAGCAGUGGGGAAUUUUCCGCAAUGGGCGAAAGCCCGACGGAGUGACGCCGCGUGUGGGACGAAGGCCUUCGGGUCGU
rnacentral:rRNA from 1 species